UACGGAGGAUCCGAGCGUUAUCCGGAUUUAUUGGGUUUAAAGGGUGCGCAGGCGGGAGAUUAAGUCGGCGGUGAAAUUUUGCAGCUCAACUGUAAAAGUGCCUUCGAAACUGGUUUCCUUGAGUGUAGAUGAAGUAGGCGGAAUUUGUGGUGUAGCGGUGAAAUGCAUAGAUAUCACGAGGGACUCCGAUUACGCAGGCAGCUUACUAAACUACUACUGACGCUCAGGCACGAAGGCGUGGGGAUCAAACAGGAUUAGAUACCCUGGUAGU
rnacentral:rRNA from 1 species